rnacentral:rRNA from 1 species
AGUGAACGCUGGCGGUAGGCCUAACACAUGCCAGUCGAACGGCAGCACAGUAAGAGCUUGCUCUUACGGGUGGCGAGUGGCGGACGGGUGAGGAAUACAUCGGAAUCUACUUUUUCGUGGGGGAUAACGUAGGGAAACUUACGCUAAUACCGCAUACGACCUACGGGUGAAAGCAGGGGAUCUUCGGACCUUGCGCGAUUGAAUGAGCCGAUGUCGGAUUAGCUAGUUGGCGGGGUAAAGGCCCACCAAGGCGACGAUCCGUAGCUGGUCUGAGAGGAUGAUCAGCCACACUGGAACUGAGACACGGUCCAGACUCCUACGGGAGGCAGCAGUGGGGAAUAUUGGACAAUGGGCGCAAGCCUGAUCCAGCCAUACCGCGUGGGUGAAGAAGGCCUUCGGGUUGUAAAGCCCUUUUGUUGGGAAAGAAAAGCAGCAGGUUGAUACCCCGCUGUUCUGACGGUACCCAAAGAAUAAGCACCGGCUAACUUCGUG